GGAGAAGAGCACCGUCUUCCCAUCGGUAGCAUCUGUCCAUCACAGCAGGCUCUUGCCUGGGGUCUGUGUGGACAACUGGGUCUUACUUUACUGUGUUGUUUCAUAGGUAAGGCUCCCAGAGACGGAGAAUCUCAGCUCAGUGAGGACAGAAGUGCGGACAGAAGUGCGGAGAGCCUCACCAAUCACAGCCAAGCCACCGAGGCAGACACAGCCACACCACGCUGGAGGCCCGGAGGCUGGACGCUGGGUGGCUGCUUAAGUUUCCCAAGGGAAGAAAUUUGGUCUGAAAUCGUUUCAGUCAGGAAGAGUCCCAGACUGAGGUCUGAAGAUCUGGGGUUCAUUUCUGUCUCCAAAAUCUAAGCCUAGGAUAGAGAACUCAAGUUCAAAUAGUCCAGCGACCCUACGUGGAUGGCAUGUGGCAGUUUCAUGUCAUUGCUGGGUCACCUGCACCCUGGCAUGGUUACAGUGGGGAGACAGAUCCUUAGAACCAGCACAGGGUCACAGGAUAAGGCCCUUCUCUCUGGCUUCCUCUCCAACCUGCAGUUCCCUGUCCAUCUUGGCCAAGUUCAUCUGAUUUGCAGAUGGGGAACCUGCCUGGCACGAAUCCUAUGGUCCCAGGAACUGUGCCAUCCCAGGAGGCUGUGCUCUCAUGAGGAGGUGUGUGACUGUCUUAAUGAGACGUCCCCGGCACGGAGCCAACCUAAUCUCAGCUCCUCAGGGUGAGUUCUCUGAGCUCUGACUGUCCUUAACCCCCAUGACAGCCUGGCUGGGUCCCGGGGGAUGGGUGCUCUGACACUGAGACCAUGUAUGGGGCUGUGUGCAUGGAAGUGAGGUAGGAACUGAGGGCUCAGCCCUGGAGCAGAUUGAAGACUGACUGAAACAGAGAAAAGGCCACAGUGCCUCUCCAUAAGACACGCCCACUAGUGCCAAGACAGUUUACCAUUGCCAUGACAACACUGUGAAG
rnacentral:lncRNA from 1 species